UUACUUGUAUUGCCGUGGGUAUCCCCUAGCGAGACAGUGUUGAAUAUAUGCCUGUCUCUGUGGAUUUUCCUUAAACGCGAUGCGUCGCGACGCCACAGAGUCACGUCCUCGGAAAGGACCUAAUGAUACCGUGGAAAAAGUUUUGCCGGUGAAAGUAUAGGUUAUUCCGUACCAGGUAUUGAGAUUCCUGAACUCCUGGGAGUCAUUUGGGAUGAUUGUGCUUGACGUGUCUCUCCUUUUUUGCCCUCAAAUAUAUUAUGUAUGUCCUCUGUACAAGGUAUAAUGGCGUCGCGAGUCUUUUUGCGCAACGGUCAAUAUGACUGUCUUGAAUAACCUAUAAAGUAUUGCGCUGUAGAAAAAGAUAUCCACGAUCUAAGGGUACGCGAUCGAUGUCAAUCGAGAUCGUUAAUAGGCGCGACACGAACUCGAGAAGUUGCAUAGGAAUCGCAAGGAAGCGAACGGACAAUAAGAUUGUAAGGCAGAAAGAGCGAAGGAGUGGAGCGUAACAAUGUGCAAUGACUUAUUCCUUCGUGUCUUCUAUCCUGGUGGCUCCUUACUUCUGUACUUAUAACUAUUCGUUUCCGUUGCUGUCAGGUAAGACACAAGAGAAAUAUCUGCACUGUAAUAUACAUUUCCUAGCGUUGUUCGACUUCGUUAACGAAUAUAAAGUAGCGUCUCGGCAAAACUGAUUGCAAAGCCCGCCAUGUUUUUCGAGGCGCCUAUUCGAGCGUAACGAUCAGCCAAUCAGCUGCGAGCAGCCACUGCUAGAGUCAGAUUAUACUUUGUACAAACGUUGCCGUAUGUCGGGCCGGGAGAGAAAUAGCACUGUAAUUUGACGAGUAUUAAGUUGAGUAAACACAAGUGCAAUUACAUAAAUAUAACAAACGAUCGAGGUUCACGUAUGUGCCUACCUACUUUCUUGACUAGCUAGGUUAGCCAGCCGAGUAGCCGAUGGCCGCUACUUGUCGACUAAACUGGCAAACCCGUCACCCAUAUACAUACAUGUAUUAAGCACAGGCCGAGUUCGUGCAAGCAUAUUCGUAGCAGUGCAAACAAACCUAGAGGUUUUAUAUUACCUUCCGAACAAGUUGCCAGCUAUCCACAAGCAGAUUUCUAGGACUGAUGCUUCAGCUUUUUUCCUCGAAGUCAUACGAGCCACACCAAUCUUAUUGAUUCUCUUGGAGCCUUAAUUUUCGUAUAUAUGUAUAUAUACUUCCAGAUAAAUGCUAGGCAGCUUGCGCUUCCGUUUGCCAAUUCCUCAAAAAGCUCAUUCGUAUAGCAGGCCUUCGCGAUACGUUUAUCGGCACUGUGCAAUAAUGAUAGAAGACAGCCACACGAUUCGUCGAAUGUUUCCCUACUUACGAAAUGGCGGCGUGAGUGGGGAAUGAUGAAUUUGCGUACUGGUGACAACAGGAGUACAAGCUGUGGUAGGGCUGAGUUCCGCAUGCGGCCUGGUUUCCUUGGCUUCCCGUUCACAAACAGAUCCGGG